CCCCUCUCAGAAUAACACCUGGAGAGUUUCCAGUACUCUAACAGUCUCAGCUAUGGGAGGGAGAAUCAAGCAGAGGCCGACCCAUUCCAUUCCUAGCUUGGACAGUGGCUAGCAAGUGGAAAGCAAUCUGCUACAAGU
rnacentral:snoRNA from 1 species